rnacentral:rRNA from 1 species
UACGUAGGGGGCGAGCGUUGUCCGGAUUUAUUGGGCGUAAAGAGCGUGUAGGCGGCCAGGUAGGUCCGUUGUGAAAACUCGAGGCUCAACCUCGAGACGUCGAUGGAAACCAUCUGGCUAGAGUCCGGAAGAGGAGAGUGGAAUUCCUGGUGUAGCGGUGAAAUGCGUAGAUAUACGGAGGAACACCAGCGGCGAAGGCGGGUAGCUGGGCCAACACUGACGCUGAUGCGCGAAAGCUAGGGGAGCGAAUGGG